AUACGGAGGAUCCGAGCGUUAUCCGGAUUUAUUGGGUUUAAAGGGAGCGUAGGUGGACAGUUAAGUCAGUUGUGAAAGUUUGCGGCUCAACCGUAAAAUUGCAGUUGAUACUGGUUUCCUUGAGUACGGUACAGGUGGGCGGAAUUCGUGGUGUAGCGGUGAAAUGCUUAGAUAUCACGAAGAACUCCGAUCGCGAAGGCAGCUCACCGGGCCGGAACUGACACUGAUGCUCGAAAGUGCGGGUAUCAAACAGGAUUAGAUACCCUGGUAGUCCGCACAGUAAACGAUGAAUACUCGCUGUUUGCGAUACACGGUAAGCGGCCAAGCGAAAGCGUUAAGUAUUCCACCUGGGGAGUACGCCGGCAACGGUGAAACUCAAAUGAAUUGGCGGGG
rnacentral:rRNA from 1 species